UUCUCUUGCAUCUAUCGGGCUUUCUCAACAGCUUCAAAUGGAAAACUUUGAAGGGCAGAGUUGGGAAGAUAAGGCGGUGAGAACACAGGCUCUACAACCACACAGAUCAGACUCUGAAUGCCACUUAGCAUUGUGAAGGUGCCCUACACAAAGCAGCCACGGUUGGUUUGCCUUUUCCUCAAGGAUGCGUCACCGCAGGGUGGGCCUUUGCUUUUGUAAAAUCUGCGUCUCCUCUGACUCUUGUUUUGUUAUCACUUCAUUGAGAAAUGGUUGAUGCAUUAAAAGCUGUUCAUAUUUAA